UACGUAGGGGGCAAGCGUUGUCCGGAAUCAUUGGGCGUAAAGAGCGUGUAGGCGGCCCGAUAAGUCCGCUGUGAAAGUCCAGGGCUCAACCCUGGAAUGCCGGUGGAUACUGUCGGGCUCGAGUCCGGAAGAGGCGAGUGGAAUUCCUGGUGUAGCGGUGAAAUGCGCAGAUAUCAGGAGGAACACCGGUGGCGAAGGCGGGUCUCUGGGCCGAUACUGACGCUGAGACGCGAAAGCGUGGGGAGCGAACAGG
rnacentral:rRNA from 1 species